rnacentral:rRNA from 1 species
UACGAAGGGGGGCUAGCGUUGCUCGGAAUCACUGGGCGUAAAGGGCGCGUAGGCGGAUCUUUAAGUCGGGGGGUGAAAGCCCAGGGCUCAACCUCGGAAUUGCCUUCGAUACUGGAGAUCUUGAGACCGGAAGAGGUAAGUGGAACUGCGAGUGUAGAGGUGAAAUUCGUAGAUAUUCGCAAGAACACCAGUGGCGAAGGCGGCUUACUGGUCCGGUUCUGACGCUGAGGUGCGAAAGCGUGGGGAGCAAACAGG